GAUGGACGCUGGCGGCGUGCCUAAUACAUGCAAGUCGAGCGAACGGACGAGAAGCUUGCUUCUCUGAUGUUAGCGGCGGACGGGUGAGUAACACGUGGAUAACCUACCUAUAAGACUGGGAUAACUUCGGGAAACCGGAGCUAAUACCGGAUGAUAUUUUGAACCGCAUGGUUCAAAAGUGAAAGACGGUCUUGCUGUCACUUAUAGAUGGAUCCGCGCUGCAUUAGCUAGUUGGUAAGGUAACGGCUUACCAAGGCAACGAUGCAUAGCCGACCUGAGAGGGUGAUCGGCCACACUGGAACUGAGACACGGUCCAGACUCCUACGGGAGGCAGCAGUAGGGAAUCUUCCGCAAUGGGCGAAAGCCUGACGGAGCAACGCCGCGUGAGUAAUGAAGGUCUUCGGAUCGUAAAACUCUGUUAUUAGGGAAGAACAUAUGUGUAAGUAACUGUGCACAUCUUGACGGUACCUAAUCAGAAAGCCACGGCUAACUACGUG
rnacentral:rRNA from 1 species